rnacentral:rRNA from 1 species
CAGCAGUCGCCACGGGAAUACGAAGGGGGCUAGCGUUGUUCGGAUUUACUGGGCGUAAAGGGCGCGUAGGCGGGCGAAUAAGUCAGGGGUGAAAUCCCAAGGCUCAACCUUGGAACUGCCUUUGAUACUGUUUGUCUUGAGUUCGAGAGAGGUAAGUGGAACUGCGAGUGUAGAGGUGAAAUUCGUAGAUAUUCGCAAGAACACCAGUGGCGAAGGCGGCUUACUGGCUCGAAACUGACGCUGAGGCGCGAAAGCGUGGGGAGCAAACAGGAUUAGAUACCCCGGUAGUCCCUGUCUCUUAUAC